rnacentral:rRNA from 1 species
AUUGAACGCUGGCGGCAUGCCUUACACAUGCAAGUCGAACGGUAACGCGGGGCAACCUGGCGACGAGUGGCGAACGGGUGAGUAAUGCAUCGGAACGUGCCUGGUAGUGGGGGAUAACUGCUCGAAAGAGCGGCUAAUACCGCAUACGACCUGAGGGUGAAAGGGGGGGAUCGCAAGACCUCUCGCUAUCAGAGCGGCCGAUGUCGGAUUAGCUAGUUGGUGGGGUAAAGGCCCACCAAGGCAACGAUCCGUAGCUGGUCUGAGAGGACGACCAGCCACACUGGGACUGAGACACGGCCCAGACUCCUACGGGAGGCAGCAGUGGGGAAUUUCGGACAAUGGACGCAAGUCUGAUCCAGCCAUGCCGCGUGCGGGAAGAAGGCCUUCGGGUUGUAAACCGCUUUUGUCAGGGAAGAAAUCUUCUGAGUUAAUACCUCGGGAGGAUGACGGUACCUGAAGAAUAAGCACCGGCUAACUACGUGCCAGCCGCCGCAGUAA